rnacentral:rRNA from 1 species
GACGAACGCUGGCGGCGUGCUUAACACAUGCAAGUCGAACGAUGAAGCCGGAGUUUGCUCUGGUGAAUUAGUGGCGAACGGGUGAGUAACACGUGAGUAACCUGCCCUUGACUCUGGGAUAACUGCGGGAAACUGUAGCUAAUACCGGAUACGACCCUCGGCGGCAUCGCCAGGGGGUGGAAAGAAUUUCGGUCAAGGAUGGACUCGCGGCCUAUCAGCUAGUUGGUGAGGUAACGGCUCACCAAGGCGACGACGGGUAGCCGGCCUGAGAGGGUGACCGGCCACACUGGGACUGAGACACGGCCCAGACUCCUACGGGAGGCAGCAGUGGGGAAUAUUGCACAAUGGGCGCAAGCCUGAUGCAGCAACGCCGCGUGAGGGAUGACGGCCUUCGGGUUGUAAACCUCUUUUAGUAGGGAAGAAGCGAAAGUGACGGUACCUGCAGAAGAAGCACCGGCUAACUACGUGCCAGCCGCCGCGGUAA